AAAAUAUUCAGAUAAAAAUCUUAGUCUGCGUAUUGUGGAAAUGACUGUAUGUCUGAUGAUUUGCUGUCAGUUUCACUGAACUGUAACAUUAGUGUGCAACUCUGCUUAACAUUUCCUUAAAACUUAUUUCCUAAUUUUUUUUUCUCAGAAAUCUCCAAGUGAGAAGACCUUACUUGUCUUCUGAAAGUCUGGCCAAUGAGCUAUACCUAGUGAUUCCAAAGUCCACAUAUAUUUACUCUGUUCUCACUGUGCAAAGUAACCGCUCUGAAGUCAAAAAAGCUGGGAUACAUGAAGACUGCCAUCCCUUGAGUCACUUGCCCUGUAGCUGCCACUGUUGGAAAAGGGCUUGAUUCUGUGUCCUUGUGCCCACUUUGAAAAGCCCUGGGAAGUCCUUGGAGUCAGAUGAUCAGGCCUCCACCACUCUGCCAAAAAGUCUGUUCA
rnacentral:lncRNA from 1 species